rnacentral:tRNA from 1 species
GCGUCGCUGGACGAGCUGUUGAUCGCGGCCCUGCGCCGGUCGAACGAGAACUUCGCCGAGGUCAUGCGGGAGUGCGAGGCCCUGACCGACCCG